AGCCGCUCCGCGUCACGUGGGAUCUUCCCGGACCGGGGCACGAACCCACGUCCCCUGCAUCGGCAGGCGGAUUCUCAACCACUGCGCCACCAGGGAAGCCCUGCCUCUGUUGUUUUAUCUGCAAAAAGUUUGUGUUUAUCAGUGGGUUUCAAAACAAGGAUGAGUUCACUUAAGCCAUGCUUUGUGUCAUUAGUGUGCUCAGCUAUCCCUUGUCAGGAUCUUUCUCUGAUGCCUGUCAGUUGAAAAGGGUGGAGCCAUGAAAUACUUCUAAGGACCUUUUGAGUCACAGACUCCUCCUUUUGGCUUAUGUGAGGAAAUGUCAGUGGUAGAGAGACUAAGGGCAUCAGGCAGCUGUCCUUGUCCGUUUGGAGCUCUGAGAAUGGCUCUCCGAGCAGGGCCAUCUCCCUUACACAUGAGUGUUGUCUAACACCCACCCACGUGCUUGGCAGUGUUUCUCAGAGGAAACACUGAGUAAAGGUCUUCAUCAGGGAAUGGAUAAAUCGGUGGAUUUUGUUAGGGAGCCACUGUUUGAGUUACCAUCUAGACAUCACUGUUACUGAUAUUUUUCAAUAACUCCAUUUUUGCAAAGCCUUAUUUCCAUUUGGGUCCAAUUAUCUGGGGAGAAGUCUCCUCACUCCCCACCCUCUUGUAAUUAAAAAGCAUGUUCUUUUUAGAUGAUUUCAAAAUGCUCUCCUCCACCAACUUCCAAAGCUUGCUGGCUCGGCCAACUUGAUGCAACUCAGCAUCGCUGGGAUAGAAGAACACAUGAAACUUUUAGAAUUGAGGUGAAAUGGAACGGGGAGCAGAUUAAGGCAGCCUAGAGGUGCUGAACCUUGGAGGACCAUUUUAACAUUGGCCAUUUCAUCCGUAAAUGUUCUUUGAACUAAUCGGAAGUGGGCCUGGCUCUAAGCUACUGCCAAGUCUCCCCGUCAUUGGUUUUCCUGUGUGUGUAAAGGAAGGUGUGAGGAAAAGAAAAGGACACCCCUGUCACACCUGGGAAGACGGAACACUCAUCCCAUACAGAGGACAAUGUCAGGACAUUACGGGAGCAUACUGAAGAUCUCCCAGUUUUGCAAAAUACAUGCUAGGGGGACUACAAGAUGGAACAGAGCUCUGAUUAUCCAUACUUAAUUAUUCAUGGCUGGUGUUAUCUAAUAUUAAUAAAGCAAACAAAUGCAAUGCAAAAUGGUCUUUCAGGAUCACAGUUCCCCAGUGCCAAAAAGGGAGAUACCCAUUCAUUGCAAAAGGAAAAUCCCAACCAAUGCUCGACCACAGGCAAAACCCAACACAAUAGGGAAGGACACCCUGGUGCCGUCACACGCAAGCCCUGUUACCGAAGACGUCUCAACUGACCAGUGCAUACUGAUACACACACAUACAAACAACAAACGAAUGGUCCCACUAACAAAGGCACAAGCUGGAGUGGCUCACCCCAAAACAAUACACACACAAAAAAACACAAACUACGGUCACACAGAAAUCAGUGGAGGUGUAGUCUAAAAUUCCAUUUCUACUCCCAGAUGGAGGUCUCCAAACAGACUGGCUUAGCUCUCAAAAGAGAACAGACCCAGAGUGUCUCACUUCCUACAAGGGAAGUAACCCAAAUGGAGUGGAGAGAAUUCCCAGCCUGUGCAAGAUGGAGCGACUUACCCCCAAGUGACACCAAAUGUGGACCACAGCUCUGGACGUUUCUCUGCUCCAAAUGACCUUGUGCACUGGGGCAGCUGACGCCUCUCAGGGAGAGUCCCUCACAGUUCCUGGAUGCAAAAUGAGCUCCAGCAGCUGCUGGGAACUUGGGAAGGGGCUGUCCCUGGCCGGGGUCCACCCGCCACAGGCACAGAUUCCUGGCUGGCUCACCAUAAUUGUUACUGAACGCAAGUCUGUGCCUAAUAACACAGUGAGACCGAACAAUACUGAAACAUUAGAGUUUGAAGCAGAGAGGUUAAUUUUUGGGCCAGGCAAGGAGACAGGUGGCUCAUGCCUUAAAAAGGCCAAACUCCGAAAAGCUUUCAGCAAAGCCCUUUUUAAAGGCAAGGUGAGGGGGUGUGUGAAUUGUUGCAAACUUCUUGGUGUCAGAUCCUUUGUUCUUGUAGCUGUCCCUGUAGGCCAGGUUUCUGUUAUUCUGUGUUCAGGUCAGGUCAAGGUCAGGCUAUCCUGUAUAUUUCAAGCCAUAGGCAACAUUCUUUUACAAAAGGUGCAGAGCCAGCAUGACUUAAGCAGAGGCAACAGGGCACAAAGGUUGGAGCUAAAGAAAUAGAUCCAAUAUGGAGUCAGAUUUAUUCUUCCCUAUUACAAGACCACACACACCCCAACUUCAGAUUCAAGUCCCCCAUGCAUGGCAUCACAAGGUCCUGUGGGGGAAACUUAGUCCCUUCCUUCAGUGAUCCGACGCUGGAGUUUUUCUGCAGUGUUUCUUCCAGCAUGGCCAUGCAGCCAAGGACUGAGCAUCUCCAGUGACAGAGAGCUCGGCCCGUUCUCACAAACUCAGGAAGUACUCCCCCCACACCCCUGGGUUUUUUAGCAUAAAUCUGUUUUCACAGCAACCAGCCUUUACCAUUGGUUUCCGCCCCCACCCUGGGAAAACCUUCCUCUCCACAACCUCCAGAGCAUUAGGACAGCAAGCGUGCCCCCCCACCCCUUCUAUCCAUGUGAAUCCUGUUCCUUUGUCCCAGCAUCUCAUGGUUUGUGUCCCCUUCUGGUCUGAACGCUUCUGCCCUGCAUGUGUCACGUUUGGGGCUAAUGUUGCCCCUGAGGUGUGGUGCCCACAGUCAGACACAGCACACUGGGUGUGGUGAUUUGUCCAUCAAUAAUUUGGCACUUCGAUGGCUUUUCUCACGAGACAGAUGAUUGCCUUUCGCAACAUGAGCCCUUGAAGGCUGACAUGGGUCACUUCUGGGGACAGUGUAAUGAUGGGUCUGAGUAAGGCCAGAGGGUCUUGCUCCUUUGCCAUGUGCAGUGGUUCCCAGACAGUGGCCACAGGACACAGGUCACCAACGGUCAGGGGACUUCCCAUGCAAAGGUUGCCAACUGUGAUUGUGCUUCCAUGCUGGAACCUGGGUGCCCUUGAUGCCCUUGAAGUGUUCUUCAUCCAUCUCUGGAGGGCCUGCUACACGUAUACAUUCCAUGACCAGUGCAAUGUGUUUAUAAGCGGGUGCAUAAUAAAUUACUGGAAACAGCUGAGGUUUUAAUCCUCCAUUAAUACAGAAAGUUUGACUCCUGUCAGCCAUGGUCUCUGCUUAAAAUAUUUAGGAGUUGGUUUCCACAGCGGUCUGCCAAAGCCUUCCAUGAUGGAUGGCAGAAGCCGAGUCGGGGGCACUUCACUCACUGUGGAGGUGCGGGGGCCAGGGGCGUGCUGCUGCUUCUCACACCAGGUCAAGGAGCCAGGACUGUUCUGUGAGAAGAGUAGGAAGCCACUUGAGGACACGUAGAAUUUCCGUCUCCAGUCUGAGGGUUAAGGACAGGGAUGUCCAGCAUCUUCUUUGUCAGGGGCUCCUCUGUUGAAGCCAUUUGCCUGUUAGUAUCCGGGUUUCCCUGCGGAUGUGUCCUUUACACUAGUUUUCUCACUUUCAGAGCUGCUAUCAUGACUGGUCACCCAGGUACGACACGGGUAUUUCUAUCUAUCCGCCCCACACCAAAGCCCUCCCUUAUCCUGGGCAGUAAGGGCCCCUGGGGUCCUUUAGAACCUGACACUGAUACCUACAGGGAAGGGCCUGAUCCUAAAAUACAUGAGAGGAUCCAGCACUGAACACCUGGGUGAUGCCCUCGUGAGAAAUUUAGGAAAUGCCACUUGAGGAAACGGGUCUAUCAAUGGUGCUACCCCUUCAUCCUUACAGACAUGAAGUUCCCUGCAAGCUUUCCUGCCUGCUGCAUAGUAAAGGAAGCGAAACAAUAAA